AACGAACGCUGGCGGCAUGCCUAACACCUGCAAGUCGCACGAGAAAGCGCCGCAAGGCGCCGUAAAGUGGCGGACGGGUGAGUAACGCGUGGGAACCUGCCCUAGGGUACGGAACAACCCAGGGAAACUUGAGCUAAUACCGUAUACGUUCUCUUCGGAUGGUCCGGAGAGAAGAAAGAUUUAUCGCCCCGGGAUGGGCCCGCGUUGGAUUAGCUAGUUGGUAGGGUAACGGCCUACCAAGGCGACGCUCCAUAGCUGGUCUGAGAGGAUGAUCAGGCACACUGGGGGUGGGAGACGGACCAGACUACUACGGGAGGCAGCAGUGGGGAGUAUUGGACAAUGGGGGAAAGCCUGAUCCAGCAAUGCCGCGUGAGUGAAGGUGGCCUUCGGGUUGUAAGGCGCUUUCGGCGGGGAAGAUAAUGACGGUACCCGCAAAAGAAGCCCCGGCUAACUCCGUGCCAGCAGCCGCGGUAAAAC
rnacentral:rRNA from 1 species